rnacentral:rRNA from 1 species
CCUACGGGAGGCAGCAGUGGGGAAUAUUGCGCAAUGGGCGAAAGCCUGACGCAGCAACGCCGCGUGAGGGAUGACGGCCUUCGGGUUGUAAACCUCUUUCAGCAGGGAAGAAGCGAAAGUGACGGUACCUGCAGAAGAAGCACCGGCUAACUACGUGCCAGCAGCCGCGGUAAUACGUAGGGUGCAAGCGUUGUCCGGAUUUAUUGGGCGUAAAGAGCUCGUAGGCGGUUAGUCACGUCGGAUGUGAAAUCCCGGAGCUUAACUCCGGGCCUGCAUUCGAUACGGGCUGACUCGAGUAUUGUAGGGGAGACUGGAACUCCUGGUGUAGCGGUGAAAUGCGCAGAUAUCAGGAGGAACACCGGUGGCGAAGGCGGGUCUCUGGGCAAUUACUGACGCUGAGGAGCGAAAGCGUGGGGAGCAAACAGGAUUAGAUACCCUGGUAGUCCACGCCGUAAACGGUGGGCGCUAGGUGUGGGACCCUUCCGCGGUCUCCGUGCCGCAGCUAACGCAUUAAGCGCCCCGCCUGGGGAGUACGGCCGCAAGGCUAAAACUCAAAGGAUUGACGGCGNGNGAGNGCGACGACGACGACGAGGAGGAGG